GCGCGGGGAUCGUCGCGCUCUGAUGAAUCAUUCUGCAAGGGCUGCGCGCGAUAACAGUAUCCUUCCGCCGCGCGGGGCCAGGAGAGCAGCAGUUGAAAUGGUUUAGCACAGAACUGAUGAAGAUCCCGAUGGGAAGAAGAAACGUGGUGGUUUCUUUCACUGCCCACAGCACCAUGGCUACUCCCUUUUGAACAACCUUCAGCCCAAAUGACCCUCCCAAGAAAAUCAACCACCAGAUGCUGAUACCAGCAGAAAUCUAGGAGAAGCUUGUAUUCUAGGUCCUCACAGAAAUGCAAUGAAAUAUUACUUGAGAGACCUCACAGAAGCAGCUUUUUUCUGGCUCCCUAAUGCUAUGAGUAACCUUGGUAAGGCCAAAAUAAGUCAAAAUUCGUCUCAAGGCAAGUCCAAUAACCUCAGUGGAGUUAUGCUAGCAACGAAUUUGGCACACUCAGGAGAGGGAAAGGAGGAAUUCUAAUUGCAUGCAUAUUUUUAUUAGAUAUAUUUUAUCUAAGAGAGCCUACGCCUCAGGCUGGUGGGAGGUAGGAGCAUCAUAAAGAAAGAGACAGGCUGCACCACCUCUGAAUACCAUAGCAGCCAGCCCCAAAGCAGCACACACACACGCACACGCCUAGUAUCCUACAUCGUUGUCUUUGGCGAGGUAAUAUCCUAUACUACACAAGAUGCUAAAGUGACCAGCUGGGGGAACCUCCAUUCUUGGGGGAUCCCAAUUCUAAACCUUUUGGUAAUUCAAAGCAGAUGGGAAAACUGAACAUGAUGCAGAUAAAGCUCACCUUUCUGCCAGCGUACUUCAUUUUCAAUUUAUGUGGAGGUGUUUCCAUUAUGUACAGGGCAGGAUGAGAAUGUGCAAGGAUCUUGGGGCCUGGUUUUCUCAAACCAUGGCUGAGAGACAGCUUAAAUCCCUUUCAUCCUCUAAUUCUUAUUAGUGCCAUUUGGGGUCUUCCCUGCCUAUAGAACAGCUUGUGCUGCUGCUGCUACAGAGUUUCCCAGUAUUGUGCUAGAAGUGAGACUCAUCCCAGAGGGAGAGCAGACUCCUAAACUGGCCCUUGUGCCCCAUAAGAGGAAUGAAUCUGCGGGCUCAAGCUA